CGAGGGACGCGCGGCCCGGGACGUUUAAAGGGCAAAUUAAAGUUAUCUGGUACCUGCUGGGGAACGCGGUGUCAGAGCAUGUGCCUGCUGUAUUUAUAGCUCCCGGGAGGCACCGGAGGGAACAUGGGGAGCUGGCAGGAGCUCUUCAGGCCGCGUUAACCGUUCCGUCCAGGGGGAAGGCAGCGCCUGAGGGCUGAAAGCCUGCCCAGAGCGGUCUGAGAGUGCGACCAGCCAACUAAAGGAAAGCAAACACCCCUUUAACACCUUGAGACUUCUACUGCUGGUUUCACACGGACCCCUGGGAUAGUGAUGCUCGCAGCUGCUGCUUGGCUACCCAGACCCAUAAGGUCUCCUCAGGGUGUGCACUCAGGUGUCAGCCAGUGCCCUGCUGACUGGUGUACGUGCUUCAUUGGCUUCACUAGUGGCCACUCUGAGGUACUGGAGAAGGCAAAGAUUACUGGAAAAGAGUGGGGCAUGAAGAACCAGGGGGAAGGGAAACAAAUCAAGCACCAAUACUGCAGGAUUUGGUUCCUCAUCAGAGAUUUGUUUAUUUCAUACAAAUUCAGAUCCUUAGUACAACAGAACUAAACCAGAAACUAUCUGGUACUCAAAUCAGACAAGCAUUAUUUUGUGCUACACUAGUUGUUUGAAGAAUUGCAAUCACAGUCUUUACUCUGAAAUUAAUUUCACUUCUCUAUAGGACUGUACAGUAAAUACUUGGUAUGCUAUAGACAGAAUAACAGUGUUGCUAAGAUUUAGAACAUCAGUGGUUUUUCCUCAUAGAUGUCAACAUACCUUGAGAACAAAAGUCAUCUUUUAUGUCACAGAUGUGUUACAGUGAAUAAUUAAUGAAUUCUACAGGCUGUCAUAAACAUUUACAGUACUCCAGAAUAUCUAUUAAUUUUUUGAUUAUUAAUGCAGUCAUGACACAAACAAACAGUACACAUCACAGAUUUUGGUAAACUCAUAAAGCAGAGAUAUUGUGGACAGUUUCCAAGCCAUGUAUAUAAGCAAAUUAAUGACUUGUUAGACUCCAUAAUAAUUCACUAUUUACUAGCUCUUCUUUGGUAAAUAUAUUUUGAUAUAAAGCAUAACUCAUUAUCCUCAGAAGGCAUUUUGGAAAAAAAGACAAAGAAAAGUGAGGUGACUUUCUCAAGGUCAUUUUGUCAGUGUGUGGUAGAGCAAGGCACGAAUAGAGGUUUCCAAGUUUUGCCAGAUCUCUCUUGCACAUGCCAUUUGUAUAUAUAUGCAAUAAUAUUAAGAGGCAAGAUUAUAUUUAUUUCAAUAAUAACCAUUAAAGCUUAUUCAGAACAAGCAUAAAGCAAAAUUUGAAAGCUUACUUUGCAGCUGAAAGGAAUGUUGUACUUUUUCUUUUGGUGUAGAUCUCUGCAGAAAAUAAUUCCUUUAGUCAUUUCCAAACAUGUUUCAUUACGUGGUGGAACUUAUUUCCCUUAUUGAUUCUGUGAUUUUCAGGUUUUGUGCUUCCAGGAAAAAAAUAUGUACUGAGAGGAUCUCUGAUGUUUAUAUAUUCAUUAUUUUUUAAAAUUUCUAGUUUGAACUAACUUUGCAUGGAAGAAAUGAGAUCUGGAGAGUGUUGUGUUCUGUGCAAAAACUGUAACCUUCAGGGCAAGGUUUGCCUCUCAAGAAAAGUCUACAUUUCCAGGGUCCUAAUUGUUAUGUUUGAUAGAUACUUGAAGUUUCAUUUUCCUACUUACUACCUUGGAAUAUUAUAUUUUCUAUGAUUUUUUGUCUUUUGUCUGAGAUAGAAGUUGUGCUAAGAGAUAAUUAACAUUGUACUUUGCUUUUCUGCAUGUUCCAGUUCGUUCCCAGAUAUAUGCUUCUCAUGGUGUUCACGAGAUCUCUUGGAAGGUGUGACAGUUGCAAACAGUAUCAACAAUGCCUGGGCAGGUGUGUGAUCAGAGCAAAGCCAAGCUAUGGCUGCAGCCCUCUGUAUUUUCCACAAGACACAAUUUUCUCUUGCUGCUAGUGAGUAACACUUCUUAGCAGUAACAUUCCAAAUGUGUUUUAUGUCCCGAUCAGGAAAUAAAGUUGUUCACCAAGUUCUCCUGCUUACCUGGUGGGGUUUUUUUUUAAUGUUUGUUUGUUUCCAAACUGGAGAAAUACUGGGUUGUGUGAAUGCAGAAUUCAGAAGCACCUGCCUAAGUUCCAUGACCUAGAAAAUAGGCCUGAUUUGUUUUCAAAGCUUGGCAAAGCAAAGCUAUUAAAAAGCGAAAGUAUUAACGUAGACAUCUCUGACCUGAAGUUUGCAACAUGCUCUUCUUCAGAAAACCUUUUGGGUUGGAAGAAUGUCCAGUGUGACACCCAGCCCUCUUUGCGUAGUGCAACAUUCUUUACAUUGUUCGUGCAAUACCCUGUGUGAUGACUCUCGUGUUCAGCUUUCCAUAGCUCUGGUGACUCUUGCCUAGUUUUCAAUUGCCUGCCUCUUCUUAGAGUUGUAGGGACUUAUUCUUUCUUCUUAGGUCUGCAUAAACCAGUAAUUACCAUUUAAAAUCAUUGAUACAACGUUGGUGCAAGUUAGAGUAUAUGAGGAAAUCUCAUGUAGCAUUUUAAGUAGGGUUUUAUUUUCUAUUUUGCUCAAGCUUACUCUUCUAAAUAUUAUCUUAAUAUAAUCUUAAUGGGAUAAUGCAAGUC
rnacentral:lncRNA from 13 species